UACAAUAGGGCCAGAUAAGGGGAU
rnacentral:piRNA from 1 species